GAAGAGCUUGAAGCUAAAGGAUUGCCGGAUUAACUCAGGUAAGGGGGGUUUAUCGUCGUUUAAUGGGUAUUAUGGGUUAACAUGUAAUGGGUAGUAAUAAGCCGUUGAAUUGACCCUAAUUGGGAUGAUGAGUGCUGAAAAAUUGUGAUGAAUAAGUUAUGUUAAAGCUGUAAUUGAAUCUAUAAUUGGAUGAGUUGUGAUUUUCCGAACGUGUAGCUUUUUACGGAAUUGGAAUCGGAGGUCCG
rnacentral:lncRNA from 1 species